rfam:Ornithorhynchus anatinus chromosome 4, whole genome shotgun sequence.
AGCAGCUUGGCUCACUGGAAAGAGCAGGGGCUUGGGAGCCAGAGGUCAUGGGUUCGAAUCCCAGAUCUGCCA